GAUGAACGCUGGCGGCGUGCCUAAUACAUGCAAGUCGAGCGAAUGGAUUAAGAGCUUGCUCUUAUGAAGUUAGCGGCGGACGGGUGAGUAACACGUGGGUAACCUGCCCAUAAGACUGGGAUAACUCCGGGAAACCGGGGCUAAUACCGGAUAACAUUUUGAACCGCAUGGUUCGAAGUUGAAAGGCGGCUUCGGCUGUCACUUAUGUAUGGACCCGCGUCGCAUUAGCUAGUUGGUGAGGUAACGGCUCACCAAGGCAACGAUGCGUAGCCGACCUGAGAGGGUGAUCGGCCACACUGGGACUGAGACACGGCCCAGACUCCUACGGGAGGCAGCAGUAGGGAAUCUUCCGCAAUGGACGAAAGUCUGACGGAGCAACGCCGCGUGAGUGAUGAAGGCUUUCGGGUCGUAAAACUCUGUUGUUAGGGAAGAACAAGUGCUAGUUGAAUAAGCUGGCACCUUGACGGUACCUAACCAGAAAGCCACGGCUAACUACGUGCCAGCCGCCGCAGUAAAAC
rnacentral:rRNA from 1 species